UACGGAGGGUGCAAGCGUUAUCCGGAUUCACUGGGUUUAAAGGGUGCGUAGGUGGGCAGGUAAGUCAGUGGUGAAAUCUCCGGGCUUAACCCGGAACUGCCGUUGAUACUAUUUGUCUUGAAUUUCCUGGAGGUAAGCGGAAUAUGUCAUGUAGCGGUGAAAUGCUUAGAUAUGACAUAGAACACCAAUUGCGAAGGCAGCUUACUACGGGAAUAUUGACACUGAGGCACGAAAGCGUGGGGAUCAAACAGG
rnacentral:rRNA from 1 species